GACGAACGCUGGCGGCGUGCUUAACACAUGCAAGUCGAGCGGGGGAGGUUGCUUCGGUAACUGACCUAGCGGCGGACGGGUGAGUAAUGCUUAGGAAUCUGCCUAUUAGUGGGGGACAACAUUCCGAAAGGGAUGCUAAUACCGCAUACGCCCUACGGGGGAAAGCAGGGGAUCUUCGGACCUUGCGCUAAUAGAUGAGCCUAAGUCGGAUUAGCUAGUUGGUGGGGUAAAGGCCUACCAAGGCGACGAUCUGUAGCGGGUCUGAGAGGAUGAUCCGCCACACUGGGACUGAGACACGGCCCAGACUCCUACGGGAGGCAGCAGUGGGGAAUAUUGGACAAUGGGCGGAAGCCUGAUCCAGCCAUGCCGCGUGUGUGAAGAAGGCCUUUUGGUUGUAAAGCACUUUAAGCGAGGAGGAGGCUACUAGUACUAAUACUACUGGAUAGUGGACGUUACUCGCAGAAUAAGCACCGGCUAACUCUGUGCCAGCCGCCGCCGUAAAAC
rnacentral:rRNA from 1 species